rnacentral:misc_RNA from 1 species
GAUGAAGAACGUAGCGAAAUGCGAUAAGUAAUGUGAAUUGCAGAAUUCAGUGAAUCAUCGAAUCCUUGAACGCACAUUGCGCCCCCUGGUAUUCCGGGGGGCAUGCCUGUCCGAGCGUCAUUACAACCCUCAAGCUCAGCUUGGUAUUGGGCCCCGCCGCUCCGGCGGGCCCUAAAGUCAGUGGCGGUGCCGUCCGGCUCCGAGCGUAGUAAUUCUUCUCGCUCUGGAGGUCCGGUCGUGUGCUCGCCAGCAACCCCCAAUUUUUUUCAGGUUGACCUCGGAUCAGGUAGGGAUACCCGCUGAACUUAAGCAUAUCAAUAAGCGGAGGA